rnacentral:antisense_RNA from 1 species
UUUGGCAUUCGGCUUACCAUCAACAAUGGCAUUACCUACCGCGUGCAACAAGUGAGUUUUACCUAGGCCGGUGCCACCGUA